rnacentral:rRNA from 1 species
AGAGUUUGAUCCUGGCUCAGGAUGAACGCUGGCGGCGUGCCUAACACAUGCAAGUCGAGCGAAGCACUUGCUUUUGAUUCUUCGGAUGAAGAAGCUUGUGACUGAGCGGCGGACGGGUGAGUAACACGUAGGUAACCUGCCUCACACAGGGGGAUAACAGUUAGAAAUGACUGCUAAUACCGCAUAAGCGCACAGGGCUGCAUGGCCCGG